rnacentral:rRNA from 1 species
UACGUAGGUUGCAAGCGUUAAUCGGAAUUACUGGGCGUAAAGCGUGCGCAGGCGGUUUGUUAAGACGGAUGUGAAAUCCCCGGGCUCAACCUGGGAACUGCAUUCGUGACUGGCAGGCUAGAGUAUGGCAGAGGGGGGUGGAAUUCCACGUGUAGCAGUGAAAUGCGUAGAGAUGUGGAGGAACACCGAUGGCGAAGGCAGCCCCCUGGGCCAAUACUGACGCUCAUGCACGAAAGCGUGGGGAGCAAACAGG